AUAUUUUAUAUCAUAAUGUAUAAAUAUUUAUAACAUUUGCAUAAUAUUGUUCAUUUAUAAAACAUGUCUCAAACACAUCUUAAAUCCUGAAGCUAAUCACGUAUCAGCAUCAAAUUUACAUGAAAUAAAAUGGCAUCAGGAUAAGGUACAUGUACUUGGAAUCAUGUUCAUAAAUAUACCAACUAAUCCACUAUAGAAAGAAUGUGAACAAGAAUCCAUGAAUUGCAGACGUGGUAAUAUUGUCAUUACCAGUGUCUUAUCAUGGCUACAUAUGGAUCAACAGCAGAUGGCGACAUACGCUUAUUGGCAUCGGGUCCUAGUUGGCA